GAGAAGGUGGCCGAGUGGUUAAGGCGAUGGACCGCAAAUCUAUUAGGCCCUGCACCCAUGGGUUCGAAUUCCAUCCUCGUCG